UGGAUUAGGCAUGCAAGUCGCGCGACAAGUUUCCUGCUUGCAGGAAACGGAGGAGCGGCGAAAGUGGAGAGUAACACGUGGAUACCUGCCCUCAGCUCCGGGAUAGCAGCGGGAAACUGCUGGUAAUACCGGAUAAUAUCCCCGGAUCAAAGGUGUGAUUCCUGGCUGGGGAUGGGUCCGCGUCCUAUUAGGUUGUUGGUAGGGGUAAUGGCCCACCAAGCCAAAGAUGGGUACCGGGCGUGAGAGCGUGGCCCGGCUCACUGGGACUGAGACACUGCCCAGACAUCUACGGAUGGCUGCAGUCGAGGAUCUUCCGCAAUGGUCGAAAGUCUGACGGAGCGACGCCGCGUAGCGGGAUGAAGGCCUUCGGGUUGUAAACCGCUGUCAGUGGGGAGCAAAUGCAUCAGGGGCAAUCCCUGUUUGUUUGAGCGAUCCGCAGAGGAAGUACGGGCUAAG
rnacentral:rRNA from 1 species